CCCAGUUCUGUUCACCGUCCAAAGACCAGGGCCCUCCCUGAAGCCCAGCACUUGAGAAAUGCUCGCUCUCACGUAUUAUGACUCUGGCUUUGGAAAGAAAUUCAGCAAGGGUACUGGUUGAAAGGUCAAAAAGUGGUGAAAUGCCAUCUGCCCAAACGGAAGCAAGGGGUCGCUUGGAUUGGGCCUGGGCACAGUGGCUGACACCUGUAAUCCCAAGCUUUGGGAGGCUGAGAUGGGAGGAUCAUUGGAGGCCAGGAGUUUGAAACCAGCUUGGCCAACAUAGCAACUUCAUCUCUAAAAAAAUAAAAAUAAAAAUAAAAGGUUUUUUUUUUUUUAAUUAUCUGGGCAUCGUGGCACACUGGGCAAGUAGUUCCAGCUCCUUGGGAGGCCGAGGCAGGAAGAUCACUUGAGCCUAGGAGUUCAAUGCUAUAGUGAGCUCUGAUCACACCGCUGCCCUCCAGCCUGUGUGACAGAGCAAGAACCUGUCUCUAAAAAAAUAACAAUUUUAAAAUGCUCAAGUGAACAGUUCUGUGCCAUUAAGUGCACUCACAUUUUUGUGCCACCAUCACCACCAUUCAUCUACAGAAACUUUCUUUCUUUCCCAACUGAAACUCUGUCCCCAUUGAACACUAACGCCCCAUCCUGCCCUGCCAGCCACUGGUGGCCACCGUUCUGCUGUCUCUGAAUUUGACUAUUCGUAGUACCUCAUAUGAGUGGAAUCGUAGAGAGAGUAGUCGUCCUUUGUGACUAGCUCAUUUCCCUUAGCG
rnacentral:lncRNA from 1 species